GACGAACGCUGGCGGCGUGCCUAAUACAUGCAAGUAGAACGCUGAAGAGAGGAGCUUGCUCUUCUUGGCUGAGUUGCGAACGGGUGAGUAACGCGUAGGUAACCUGCCUUGUAGCGGGGGAUAACUAUUGGAAACGAUAGCUAAUACCGCAUAACAAUGGAUGACACAUGUCAUUUAUUUGAAAGGGGCAAUUGCUCCACUACAAGAUGGACCUGCGUUGUAUUAGCUAGUAGGUGAGGUAAUGGCUCACCUAGGCGACGAUACAUAGCCGACCUGAGAGGGUGAUCGGCCACACUGGGACUGAGACACGGCCCAGACUCCUACGGGAGGCAGCAGUAGGGAAUCUUCGGCAAUGGGGGCAACCCUGACCGAGCAACGCCGCGUGAGUGAAGAAGGGUUUCGGAUCGUAAAGCUCUGUUGUAAGUCAAGAACGGGUGUGAGAGUGGAAAGUUCACACAGUGACGGUAGCUUACCAGAAAGGGACGGCUAACUACGUG
rnacentral:rRNA from 1 species